UACGUAGGGGGCGAGCGUUGUCCGGAAUCAUUGGGCGUAAAGAGCGUGUAGGCGGCUUGGAAAGUCUUACGUGAAAGCCUGCGGCUCAACCGCAGAAGUGCGUAGGAAACUUCCUCGCUAGAGUCCGGAAGAGGAGAGUGGAAUUCCUGGUGUAGCGGUGAAAUGCGCAGAUAUCAAGAAGAACACCAAUGGCGAAGGCAGCUCUCUGGGACGGUACUGACGCUGAGACGCGAAAGCGUGGGGAGCGAACAGG
rnacentral:rRNA from 1 species